CAGACCAGUGAUGAGAUUGGAGGGUGUCUGAAUAAAACAUUUUGAUUAGAGCAAUCUGGCACUCUGAGGUCCAU
ensembl:snoRNA small nucleolar RNA, C/D box 113-8